rnacentral:rRNA from 1 species
AAGCUCGUAGUUGAAUUUCGGGAUUGGCGCAUCGGUCGUGCCUCACGGGGUAUGAACUGGUGCAGUCAAUUUCUCACCUUCUGGAGAACCGCGAUGUCCUUAAUUGGAUGCCGCGGGGAGCCAGGACCUUUACUUUGAAAAAAUUAGAGUGUUUAAAGCAGGCAUUUUUGCUUGAAUACAUUAGCAUGGAAUAAUAAAAUAGGACGGUGGUCCUGUUUUGUUGGUUUCUGAAUCACCGUAAUGAUUAAUAGGGAUAGUUGGG